UAACUGUUAGAAAUGACAGCUAAUACCGCAUAUGUAAUUCUUAGGCAUCUAAGAAUUAUAAAAGGUUCGUUUGAAUCGCAAAUAGAUAAGGAUGCGCCGCAUUAGUUAGUUGGUAAGGUAACGGCUUACCAAGACGAUGAUGCGUAGCCGACCUGAGAGGGUGAACGGCCACACUGGGACUGAGACACGGCCCAGACUCCUACGGGAGGCAGCAGUAGGGAAUUUUUCACAAUGGACGAAAGUCUGAUGAAGCAAUGCCGCGUGACUGAUGAAGGUCUUCGGAUUGUAAAAGUCUGUUGUAAGGGAAGAAAAGUUAGAAGAGGAAAUGCUUUUAAUUUGACUGUACCUUGCCAGAAAGCCACGGCAAACUAUGUGCCAGCAGCCGCGGUAAUACAUAGGUGGCAAGCGUUAUCCGGAAUUAUUGGGCGUAAAGGGUGCCUAGGUGGUUUUAUAAGUCUAAGGUUAAAGGCUGGAGCUUAACUCCAGUUUGCCUUGGAAACUAUAUAACUAGAGUAUAGAAGAGGUUAGUGGAAUUCCAUGUGUAGCGGUGAAAUGCGUAGAUAUAUGGAGGAACACCAGUGGCGAAGGCGACUAACUGGUCUAUCACUGACACUAAAGCACGAAAGCGUGGGGAGCAAAUAGGAUUAGAUACCCUAGUAGUCCACGCUGUAAACGAUGAGUACUAGGUGUCGACAUUAAGUCGGUGCUGCAGCUAACGCAUUAAGUACUCCGCCUGAGUAGUAUGCUCGCAAGAGUGAAACUUAAAGGAAUUGACGGGGACCCGCACAAGCGGUGGAUCAUGUGGUUUAAUUCGAAGCAACGCGAAGAACCUUACCAAGGUUUGACAUUCAAUGCAAAGCUGUAGAAAUAUAGAUUAGGUUAACAUUGACACAGGUGGUGCAUGGUUGUCGUCAGCUCGUGUCGUGAGAUGUUGGGUUAAGUCCCGCAACGAGCGCAACCCUUAUCCCUAGUUGCUAACAUUAAGUUGAGUACUUU
rnacentral:rRNA from 1 species